UACGUAGGGUGCAAGCGUUGUCCGGAAUUAUUGGGCGUAAAGAGCUCGUAGGCGGUCUGUUGCGUCGGCUGUGAAAACCCGGGGCUCAACUCCGGGCCUGCAGCCGAUACGGGCAAACUAGAGUUCGGCAGGGGAGACUGGAAUUCCUGGUGUAGCGGUGAAAUGCGCAGAUAUCAGGAGGAACACCGGUGGCGAAGGCGGGUCUCUGGGCCGAUACUGACGCUGAGGAGCGAAAGCGUGGGGAGCGAACAGG
rnacentral:rRNA from 1 species